GAUGAACGCUGGCGGCGUGCCUAAUACAUGCAAGUCGAGCGAACAGACGAGGAGCUUGCUCCUCUGACGUUAGCGGCGGACGGGUGAGUAACACGUGGAUAACCUACCUAUAAGACUGGGAUAACCUCGGGAAACCGGAGCUAAUACCGGAUAAUAUAUUGAACCGCAUGGUUCAAUAGUGAAAGACGGUUUUGCUGCCACUUAUAGAUGGAUCCGCGCCGCAUUAGCUAGUUGGUAAGGUAACGGCUUACCAAGGCAACGAUGCGUAGCCGACCUGAGAGGGUGAUCGGCCACACUGGAACUGAGACACGGUCCAGACUCCUACGGGAGGCAGCAGUAGGGAAUCUUCCGCAAUGGGCGAAAGCCUGACGGAGCAACGCCGCGUGAGUGAUGAAGGUCUUCGGAUCGUAAAACUCUGUUAUUAGGGAAGAACAAAUGUGUAAGUAACUAUGCACGUCUUGACGGUACCUAAUCAGAAAGCCACGGCUAACUACGUG
rnacentral:rRNA from 1 species